CAUUUAUUUUGGAGUAGCUUACAUUUCAGUGAGUGAGUUAAUGUAGAUAGAAAGAUGGGGGUCAAGGAAGGGAGGUUUACUCUGGGUUGUCUGAGGGAUAGUGAGUGAAGUCAUAGUACAGCUGAUUGUCACAUCAUUUCCAGAAGUAAUAGUAGCAUUGAACUGAUUGAGAUGCUUACAUCAAGAAGGUAAAGAGAACGGAGGGCUGAGUUAAGUAGAUUGUUACAGGGCACAUGGCAAGAGGACAACUGAGAAGUAUAUAGUUCUCAGAUAGUAUAUAAAGCCAAGUCAAUUCUAAGGCAGAUUCAAUACUAGGGGCUUUGUGAACAAUCAGGUCAUCUUGCCUGAGGAAUAAAUUUCAAAGCUGAAUAUAUCAACUUCCCUUGGGCAGGGACUUUGGAGACCCAUAGGUCUCUAGAUUGAAUGGGCAGCAAGAUGAUGUCUCAUUGAAACUUCAAGACCAGAAUUCUACUUGAUGCUUUGGAAAGUUGGCAGAAUACCCUUGUCUUCUGGAGAGAAGGUUGGCCAAGUUUCCUUUCUAUAGAUGCUACAUCUACAUCUCCAAAAUGAGGGAAACAGAGCUGAGAAUGGGAGAGAUGAAAGAACCAGACACGUACCGGGUGAAGCAUGAACCUGACAGCAGAGGGCAGCAGUGACGAGAACCAGGAACAGAACAGCUCCAGAGACCUUCAUGAUGCUGUCAGGGAGGAGGCAGCUUUUAGGAUGAAGUUCAGCAGCUUCUAAGUUUCUGCCUCUCUGAAUGUCCGACUCUUUUCUCCUCCUUUUUAUCAGGGAGAGAAAGGGCUGAAAGAGGAGGAGGGUCCCACUCCCUGGGAGACGUCAUGAGGAAAGAAUGAUGGGCUCCUUCUAGGAAAAACUUCAGAUAAGGAAUGGGACAGAAAUGUGAGGAGGAUCACAUAGAUGGCAACAUCAGGAGUUCAUACUUUAUUCACUAGGUACUAAGGAGUCCCAGAAGAGUUUUGAGCUGAAGAGUAACACUAUUAGAAUGGCAGAUCCUGAUUCCCUACUAAAAGGUCAUCUCUUAUAAGAAAGGAAACAAUGAAAGAGGAAUGAAAGAAAGGGAAAAAUUAAAGGAAGGAAAGAAGAAGAGAAGAACAAAAGACAGGAAAAAAAGGAAGAAAAAAUUCACUAGAGCUAAAUAAUAUAUGAAAGAAAUCUGACAGUAUAUACAAUAUUCUACAUCCAUAAUCCUCACUUCUAUAAAGAAAAGAAGGAGAUAUGUUUUCUCAUCUCUUCUUCUGGGUCAAAAUGUUUUUAAAUAUGGCAACUAGGAGGUACAAUAGAGUGCU